AAUUCAAGGGGUUGAGACGAGUGAAUUUAUUCACGAAGCAAUCGGAAGUGGUUCCAAGAAAAGCCUCUAAGCUUCAGUCAUACGAGACCGUACCGCAAACCGACACAGGUGGGCGAGAUGAGUAUUCUAAGGCGCUUGAGAGAACUCGGGAGAAGGAACUCGGCAAAUUGGUACCGUAACUUCGGGAAAAGGUACGCCCCGGUAGCUUGAUUGGUUUACUCCAUGAGGGUGAAAGGGUUGCAAUAAACUGGUGGCUGCGACUGUUUAAUAAAAACACAGCACUCUGCAAACACGAAAGUGGACGUAUAGGGUGUGACGCCUGCCCGGUGCUGGAAGAUUAAAUGAUGGGGUGCAAGCUCUUGAUUGAAGUCCCAGUAAACGGCGGCCGUAACUAUAACGGUCCUAAGGUAGCGAAAUUCCUUGUCGGGUAAGUUCCGACCUGCACGAAUGGCGUAACGAUGGCCACACUGUCUCCUCCCGAGACUCAGCGAAGUUGAAAUGUUUGUGAUGAUGCAAUCUACCCGCGGCUAGACGGAAAGACCCCAUGAACCUUUACUGUAGCUUUGCAUUGGACUUUGAACCAAUCUGUGUAGGAUAGGUGGGAGGCUUUGAAGCGGGGACGCUAGUUCUCGUGGAGCCAACCUUGAAAUACCACCCUGGUUUGUUUGAGGUUCUAACCUUGGUCCGUUAUCCGGAUCGGGGACAGUGCAUGGUAGGCAGUUUGACUGGGGCGGUCUCCUCCUAAAGUGUAACGGAGGAGUUCGAAGGUACGCUAGAUACGGUCGGACAUCGUGUUGAUAGUGCAAUGGCAUAAGCGUGCUUAACUGCGAGACUGACAAGUCGAGCAGGUACGAAAGUAGGACAUAGUGAUCCGGUGGUUCUGUAUGGAAGGGCCAUCGCUCAACGGAUAAAAGGUACUCUGGGGAUAACAGGCUGAUUCCUCCCAAGAGUUCAUAUCGACGGGGGAGUUUGGCACCUCGAUGUCGGCUCAUCACAUCCUGGGGCUGUAGCCGGUCCCAAGGGUAUGGCUGUUCGCCAUUUAAAGUGGUACGUGAGCUGGGUUUAAAACGUCGUGAGACAGUUUGGUCCCUAUCUGCCGUGGGCGUUGGAAAUUUGAAGGGGGCUGCUCCUAGUACGAGAGGACCGGAGUGGACGAACCUCUGGUGUACCGGUUGUCACGCCAGUGGCAUUGCCGGGUAGCUAAGUUCGGAAGAGAUAACCGCUGAAAGCAUCUAAGCGGGAAACUUGCCUUGAGAUGAGAUUUCCCAGAGCCUUGAGCUCUUUGAAGGGUCGUUCGAGACCAGGACGUUGAUAGGCUGGGUGUGGAAGUGCAGUAAUGCAUUAAGCUAACCAGUACUAAUUGCCCGUACGGCUUGUCCCU
rnacentral:rRNA from 1 species